AAGUUGCGCCUGAAGCCAGAAGACGAUCAGAUACCGUCCUAGUCUCAACCAUAAAUGAUGCCAACAGGGAUCGACGGAUGUUGCUUUUAUGACUCUGCCGACACCUUAUGAGAAAUCAAAGUCUUUGGGU
rnacentral:ncRNA from 1 species